CAGAGUUACAAGCACCUUUUCCAGCCGGUUAUCAACCAGGUAGUGGACUUCUACCAACCCACGUGCAUUGUGCUCCAGUGUGGAGCUGACUCUCUGGGCUGUGAUCGAUUGGGCUGCUUUAACCUCAGCAUCCGAGGGCAUGGGGAAUGUGUUGAAUAUGUCAAGAGCUUCAAUAUCCCUCUACUCGUGCUGGGUGGUGGUGGUUAUACUGUCCGAAAUGUUGCCCGCUGCUGAAUACUUCGAGUACUUUGCCCCAGACUUCACACUUCAUCCAGAUGUCAGCACCCGCAUCGAGAAUCAGAACUCACGCCAGUAUCUGGACCAGAUCCGCCAGACAAUCUUUGAAAACCUGAAGAUGCUGAACCAUGCACCUAGUGUCCAGAUUCAUGACGUGCCUGCAGACCUCCUGACCUAUGACAGGACUGAUGAGGCUGAUGCAGAGGAGAGGGGUCCUGAGGAGAACUAUAGCAGGCCAGAGGCACCCAAUGAGUUCUAUGAUGGAGACCAUGACAAUGACAAGGAAA
rnacentral:sRNA from 1 species